rnacentral:rRNA from 1 species
UACGUAGGGCGCAAGCGUUGUCCGGAAUUAUUGGGCGUAAAGAGCUCGUAGGCGGCCUGUUGCGUCCGCUGUGAAAACCCGGGGCUUAACCCCGGGCUUGCAGUGGAUACGGGCAGGCUAGAGUGUGGUAGGGGAGACUGGAAUUCCUGGUGUAGCGGUGAAAUGCGCAGAUAUCAGGAGGAACACCGAUGGCGAAGGCAGGUCUCUGGGCCACUACUGACGCUGAGAAGCGAAAGCAUGGGGAGCGAACAGG